UUACCAAGUAGGUCGGCGGCCUGAGUGCGAUACGAGUUUAGGGCCACUAGGAAUCCAUUCUCGGGAUUUCUAGAAUUCAUGGGAGGCUCUUGAGGUUGUGGUUCACACCGAGUUUCUAUGUGUCUUAACUGGCGGGUUCUUGUGUUCUCGACACCUUGUUUGUACCUCGUUUAGAGUUUUGAAGCUUAAGCUCCGAUUGUGGGAACCGAAAUUCGCACUGUCGAUUUACGUUUAAAUUAGAAAACUAGGAAAACCCUAAUUUCCC
rnacentral:lncRNA from 1 species